GAAAUGCGAGAAUUAAUGUGAAUUGCAGAAUUCAGUGAAUCAUCGAGUCUUUGAACGCACAUUGCGCCCCCUGGUAUUCCGGGGGGCAUGCCUGUCCGAGCGUCAUUGCUGCCCUCAAGCACGGCUUGUGUGUUGGGCUUCCGUCCCUGGCAACGGGGACGGGCCCAAAAGGCAGUGGCGGCACCAUGUCUGGUCCUCGAGCGUAUGGGGCUUUGUCACCCGCUCCCGUAGGUCCAGCUGGCAGCUAGCCUCGCAACCAAUCUUUUUAACCAGGUUGACCUCGGAUCAGGUAGGGAUACCCGCUGAACUUAAGC
rnacentral:misc_RNA from 1 species